AACCCGUUAAGGAUCGAUAAUCGCCUUUUGGAAUACGCAGCGGCAACUGGCUAGGGUUCCGUCCAUUCCAUGCAGCGGCAACUGGCUAGGGUUCCGUCCAUUCCACGGUUCUCUCCCGAUUCUUACUUCCUCGCUUCUCAUCAAGGCUAAUUGAGUGGUGGAUGCCCAUGAUAUGGACUAUAAUAAAAACUGCCGAUGAUGAUUGAGGAAUGAAGGAAUAUCUCUCGGAAGUUGUGUGAGGUAUUUUAUAUGCUUUUGUUCUUGUUUUUUUUGUUUUUUUAAGUAUCCCUAAUAAGAGAGCAUGAAGCUCUUAUUUCAAUGCAAGUGCAUGUUAAGAUGACCGGUCCACAACACUGUUUAGUAUGUUUACCGUAGCUAGUUAGUUCCUUAUUACAGGCGAAGCAGUAACGUAUUUUAAAAAGCUUAAGAGAUACUGAAAUUGGAUUUGGCAUCAUGGUGGGUCUGUUUUGAUAAUUGUAUCAAUAUCUCUAAAGAAGGGCUCUGGCCCUCCUCCUAACCUUUUAGGAAAGGCUGCGGACGCACACCAAGUGUUUGUAUCUUUGCGAUUAAACGUCGGUUAAUGAAUCGUUUUCCCAUCCAGCUCGGAACUAGUAACAAAACUAUUCUAUCCACUCAGCUUUUAUGGUAAGGGGGGGAUGCUCAAAAGCCUUAACUUUUUUUUUUUUUUUUUUCCUGCAUAAAACUAAUGUGGGUGUUUGUGUGAGGGUGGGGUGUGUUGGGGUCGCUUUAUUCCUUAUUCUUUGAGUCUCAGAGGAAAGAGGCCGUACACAGUUCCCGAUUCUUUCAGACCAGACCAGACCAGACCAGACCAGACCCACCUUUCAAAGAGAUCCUAAAAGAAGCCCAUCAAAUUUUUUUAGUGGGGCCCAGCAAAAGAUGAGAGGUCACAGGCCCACAUCAGAUCAACAAAGAAGCAUCAUCAUCAUAAGAUCAGAAAUCAUCGUUGUCGGUACGCCUCCCUUUUUUCUAAUCUCAAAGCAAAAUAAAGGAGUACGUUUGCAAUGGCAUGCAAAGGUUAGGGGGCAAAGGUUAGAGGGGGUGGGGGGUGUGCUUCUUUGAUUAGCUUUGUAUUAGCGCUUCAUUAUGCAAGGGAUGUGCCGGGUUGUACUGCGAAUAUUUGUUGUCAUUUUAAUCAUAGGUAAUAUGUGGUGGUCUAGUUGAGGAAUUAAUGAUUGCAAAAUAUUAUUAUUUUUUUAAUGAUAUUUUUUGGAUGCUGUGCUCCACUUUAACCUGGGUU